rnacentral:rRNA from 1 species
GAUGAACGCUAGCUACAGGCUUAACACAUGCAAGUCGAGGGGCAGCAUAAAUCUAGCAAUAGAUUUGAUGGCGACCGGCGCACGGGUGAGUAACACGUAUCCAACCUACCUAUUACUCGGGUAUAGCCUUUCGAAAGAAAGAUUAAUCCCCGAUACGAUAUUGAGUUCGCAUGAAUUUGAUAUGAAAGAUUUAUUGGUAUUAGAUGGGGAUGCGUUCCAUUAGAUUGUUGGUGAGGUAACGGCUCACAAAGUCUUCGAUGGAUAGGGGUUCUGAGAGGAAGGUCCCCCACACUGGAACUGAGACACGGUCCAGACUCCUACGGGAGGCAGCAGUGAGGAAUAUUGGUCAAUGGGCGAGAGCCUGAACCAGCCAAGUAGCGUGAGGGAUGACUGCCCUAUGGGUUGUAAACCUCUUUUAUAAGGGAAUAAAACGCUCCACGAGUGGAGCUUUGCAUGUACCUUUUGAAUAAGGAUCGGCUAACUCCGUGCCAGCAGCCGCCGUAA